rnacentral:rRNA from 1 species
GAUGAACGCUGGCGGCGUGCCUAAUACAUGCAAGUCGAGCGAACAGACGAGGAGCUUGCUCCUCUGACGUUAGCGGCGGACGGGUGAGUAACACGUGGAUAACCUACCUAUAAGACUGGGAUAACUUCGGGAAACCGGAGCUAAUACCGGAUAAUAUAUUGAACCGCAUGGUUCAAUAGUGAAAGACGGUUUUGCUGUCACUUAUAGAUGGAUCCGCGCCGCAUUAGCUAGUUGGUAAGGUAACGGCUUACCAAGGCAACGAUGCGUAGCCGACCUGAGAGGGUGAUCGGCCAGACUGGAACUGAGAAACGGUACAGACUCCUACGGGAGGCAGCAGUAGGGAAUCUUCCGCAAUGGGCGAAAGCCUGACGGAGCAACGCCGCGUGAGUGAUGAAGGUCUUCGGAUCGUAAAACUCUGUUAUUAGGGAAGAACAAAUGUGUAAGUAACUAUGCACGUAUUGACGGUACCUAAUCAGAAAGCCACGGCUAACUACGUG